rnacentral:rRNA from 1 species
CACGUAGGGUGCGAGCGUUGUCCGGAAUUAUUGGGCGUAAAGAGCUCGUAGGCGGUGUGUCGCGUCGGCCGUGAAAACCUGCAGCUUAACUGUGGGCUUGCGGUCGAUACGGGCAUCACUGGAGUUCGGCAGGGGAGACUGGAAUUCCUGGUGUAGCGGUGAAAUGCGCAGAUAUCAGGAGGAACACCGGUGGCGAAGGCGGGGUCUCUGGGGCCGA